rnacentral:misc_RNA from 1 species
GAAAUGCGAAAAGUAAUGCGAAUUGCAGAAUUCAGCGAGUCAUCGAGUUUUUGAACGCACAUUGCGCCCGCCGGUAUUCCGGCGGGCAUGCCUGUCCGAGCGUCUACAACAAACCCUCGAGCCGUCCCUCCGUUAUUCUCGCGGAGGGACCACGCUCGGUCUUGGACCAAUCCAGAUUCCUAGGCGACUCGUCGCCGCGGGAGGUCUUUGCAGCUUCACACCUGCUCCUCUUUGUUCAUUAGCUGGAUCUCAGUGUUAUGCUUGGUUCCACUCGGCGUGAUAAGUUAUCUAUCGCUGAGGACACUGUAAAAGGUGGCCAAGGUAAAUGCAGAUGAACCGCUUCUAAUAGUCCAUUGACUUGGACAAUACUUUUAUGAUCUGAUCUCAAAUCAGGUAGGACUACCCGCUGAACUUAAGC